rnacentral:rRNA from 1 species
AGGGACCCGCACAAGCGGUGAGGAUGUGUUCAAUUCGAUGCUACGCGAAGAACUUACCAGGGUUUGACAUGCAAGUGGUAGGAAGCCGAAAGGUGACCGACCCUUCGGGGAGCUUGCACAGGUGCUGCAUGGCUGUCGUCAGCUCGUGUCGUGAGAUGUUCGGUUAAGUCCGCUAACGAGCGCAACCCUCGCUGUGUGUUAUAUGUGUCACACGGGACUGCCGGUCUUAAGCCGGAGGAAGGUGGGGAUGAUGUCAAGUCAGCAUGGCCUUUAUAUCCUGGGCUACACACACGCUACAAUGGCCAGCACAGUAGGUUGCUAAGCCGCGAGGUGGAGCCAAUCCAUAAAGCUGGUCUCAGUUCAGAUUGCAGGCUGCAACCCGCCUGCAUGAAGAUGGAGUUGCUAGUAACCGCAGGUCAGCUAUACUGCGGUGAAUACGUUCCCGGGGCUU